rnacentral:lncRNA from 1 species
CAGUGAAUUUAUUUGGUAUGUGGGAAGUUGGAGCACCAAAGGUUAGCACCCCUUCAUCCCACGAGACAUCCCCUGGUCCCCUAUUUAUAGGGGAUGCCCACAAGGCUUCUACCUAUGAUUUUUGGGUGAAAUCAGAGAGAAGGGAUGUGGUAAACAUAAAAAAAAUUCUAAAAAAAAAUUGAGAAAAAAAAAGAGAGAAUUUUGAGUGGCAAAAGUUGCUACAAAGGUGGUG